ensembl:miRNA
CUGGACCACCAGGGAAAUCCUGAUUUUGUUUCUUAUUAAGGGGAGGUUCAGUAUAGAGCAAACAGCACUUGACUUGGAGUCAGAAGGCUUAGGUCCAA